GUUUCGGUGGUCAUAGCGUGAGGGAAACGCCCGGUUACAUUCCGAACCCGGAAGCUAAGCCUCAGAGCGCCCAUGGUACUGCAGGGGGGACCCUGUGGGAGAGUAGGACGCCGCCGAACA
rnacentral:rRNA from 1 species